UAAGUGUAUAUGUUGUCCUUUUUCACACGUGUACAGCGGAUUGCAAAGGAAAAAAUAAAAAUCAUCAUGAGGAAAAGAAAGCAGCAACUGAAAAGAGCUCUUGCCAUAGAUAUUCUUGUUAAAACAUGUCACGUUAAAAUACCAAGCAAAACGUUAUUCUCAUGAUGUCUGAAAAUAAAUCAUCAAGGAAAAUUGACAGCUCAUCCAGCCACCCAUAAUUCAAAACGUCGUCAGGAAUAAGGUGGAUACUUAUUUUUUGUAAGUAACUCUAAUCAAACACAUCUGAACAAGCUAAUCAAGGUCUUCGGGAUUACUAGAAAGUGACAGGCUGAGAAGUUGAGAACCCCUGCUCUUCAACCAGCAGUGGCUAACUGCUAAUGCUAACAAAUCAAACUUGACCACUUGAGUUCUGCAAAAAGAUACAAAGACAUUAAAUACAUAAGCAAUGUGAGGGUGAUUCAAAAGCAGAACAAGAAACACUGGCCUUUGAACAUUCUGCCCCAUCCUGACCUCUCUAUUGCUUCAUCAGGCUAAAGUUUAAGCCUUGAAACACUGCAGUCAUGACACACACAAGAGCAGCUCUUUGAGGAAACUAGUUUAACAUUAGUCAUCCAAUCUCUCCAGCUCUCUCUCUCCCUCCCUGCCCCUCAUUUCCCUCCCUCUCUCUCUCUCUCUCUCUCUCUCUUCAAGUGCAGUGGAGCGCAUUGGCUGUUUCUGGGGUCAUGGUGGUCCAGAUAGAAAUACUUUCAGAGUCCAAAUCAGUCCAGAGUGAUGCUAUGGUUCGGCAUGUGUGCGAUCCAUCAGUCCAAACAGAAUGAUUUUGAAUGGAAAUCUGAAAUGUCCAAGCAAGCAGUGCCUAUGGAGUGAUGAAACGAACAUGACGGCCACAGCCACCACAGCACAAAAUCCCUCCAUCCAGGAAACAGCUGCACCGUCCACAGCAGACUAGUGGAAUGCAGCACGCAGCCUCCCUGCACCAGAAACACACAAAGCCUGUUUUUGAAGUCCGGGAAUGUCCGUUUUUGAACUGUGUGAUUCAUAUAAAUCAAUCAAUGAAAAGGAACCAGUCCUCUGAUGUGGCAUUGAUUUAAAAACAAAAUCUUCCAUGCCAGCAGGUGUCACUAUGAAACUCAAGACCACUGGGACAAAUGAAGGUCCAAGGCUUUUUCGAUAACUACAGAAUGAUACUUCCGCAUUUUUGUACCCCCACCUGGAGAGUUGAAUCGACAGAGGGUUAAAAACAGAACAGUUACUGUAAGGAUUUUCCCUUGCUGUGUUUGUUCCCUUCAUAUUUACACGUGGAUUCAACGCAUACCAGAUGUGGGCCGUAUCUGGGCUGGAACAAUGUUUCUGUCUGGGUUAGCCGCUGCCUUCACUGGAAACUGAAAGCAACUCACCCCCACUAUUCACCAUUGUCAUCAUUAUUACUAAAAGUUUGCAAAGGAGUAUUUCCAUCUAAAGCAUGGAAAUAUUUGAUUCUGGUCAAGAGUAUCCAUAACAGACUGGUGGGAGUGGCCUUGGUCGGCAGCAUGCCUAGUGCAUUAUGGGUGUUGAAGUUUUCCUACAUACAGUAUUUGGCACAGAUCAGAUUUAUUCGAUUAUUUUGGGCAGCAAAUUUUUAUUGAAAGCCCAUUUUACCGGUGAUGAAUUACCCCUUUAAUGCAUUUCACUGGUUUUAUUGUGAACUCCUUAUUGGUGCAUAUAUUUUUUUCAUUUUCUUGUUUGAGAAACAGCGUCACUCAGAAAUACCACAUCACAAAAUGGUAGUAAAGUUGGUGGCAACCGACUACGUUUCGUGCUGAUUUUAGGGCAAAGUCUUAUGACGUGAAUUCACUAAUUUGUGUUUUAAAUCAGCACUAAAUCAUCAAUAACUCUGAUGGAUUUUUGAAACUGGAUAUUCUACAAGAAAAAAAAGUCUUACACUUGAUAUAUCAGUAUAUCUGUUUGUAAAGAUUAUGUAAAGUAAAUGUAUUACUUUAUAAUAAAUUCUGAUUUCUGA